rnacentral:rRNA from 1 species
ACGGGUGCGUAACGCGUGGGAAUCUGCCCUUAGGUUCGGAAUAACAGCUGGAAACGGCUGCUAAUACCGGAUGAUAUCGCGAGAUCAAAGAUUUAUCGCCUGAGGAUGAGCCCGCGUUGGAUUAGGUAGUUGGUGGGGUAAAGGCCUACCAAGCCGACGAUCCAUAGCUGGUCUGAGAGGAUGAUCAGCCACACUGGGACUGAGACACGGCCCAGACUCCUACGGGAGGCAGCAGUGGGGAAUAUUGGACAAUGGGCGCAAGCCUGAUCCAGCAAUGCCGCGUGAGUGAUGAAGGCCCUAGGGUUGUAAAGCUCUUUUACCCGGGAAGAUAAUGACUGUACCGGGAGAAUAAGCCCCGGCUAACUCCGUGCCAGCAGCCGCGGUAAUACGGAGGGGGCUAGCGUUGUUCGGAAUUACUGGGCGUAAAGCGCACGUAGGCGGCUUUGUAAGUCAGAGGUGAAAGCCUGGAGCUCAACUCCAGAACUGCCUUUGAGACUGCAUCGCUUGAAUCCAGGAGAGGUCAGUGGAAUUCCGAGUGUAGAGGUGAAAUUCAUAGA